UCGAAAUAUAGCUUGUGUGUCCAGGUCUACUGUCAGGGCACAGCAGCCCAAAGUACAUUAGUACACCCAGACUGGCUGUAAGUUGGUCAGGUUGGUGCUGAAGAGAACAACUUGUUCAACACCUUGCUAGAGGGUAAAGUCUGGGAUUUGAUCCUGAAGGAGUUCAGCAUGUCAUUAAUAGCGUACCAGCUUCUUUCAGAUUCAUGAGUCGCAGGUCUUGCUGCAGAUCUUUCCAUGCCGGAUCUUUGCCCUCUUGCAAAAUGGGAGGAACCUGGACAAAAAAAAUUCAGUCUUCGCUGCUGAGCUACAUGUAUGAUCAUUGUUGAAUUGCGUUGUGUACAGAGUGCAAGGAUCCCACUGACCUGUUGCAAUGACUUCAGUUGCAUUAGAAUCGGGUGUAUUCGCUCGCUGCGUCUGUCGCCGCUGACGGUGACGAUACCGUCAUCUUCGCCCUGCACAUGCAAUUAUAACUUUACAAAUUACUAAACAACAUCCUUCCCUAUAAGUUGAAUAUGGCAUCAGGAUCGCACCUCUUUUCCGUAGCCUGCACCCAUGGUGAUGGGUGAUCAGAACCAGCUCAGCAUUCAAAAUUAAUUUAUUGCAGCAUCUUCAUGAUACUCAUUGUUGCGAGCUCUGAAGCUUCUCUGUCU
rnacentral:lncRNA from 1 species